rnacentral:rRNA from 1 species
UACGUAGGGGGCUAGCGUUGUCCGGAAUCAUUGGGCGUAAAGAGCGUGUAGGCGGCUCGGUAAGUCCGCUGUGAAAGUCCAGGGCUCAACCCUGGAAUGCCAGUGGAAACUGUCGAGCUAGAGUCCGGAAGAGGCGAGUGGAAUCCUGGUGUAGCGGUGAAAUGCGCAGAUAUCAGGAGGAACACCAGUGGCGAAGGCGGCUCGUGGGC